rnacentral:rRNA from 1 species
UACGAAGGGGGCUAGCGUUGUUCGGAUUUACUGGGCGUAAAGCGCACGUAGGCGGAUCGUUAAGUCGGUGGUGAAAUCCUGGAGCUCAACUCCAGAACUGCCUUCGAUACUGAGAGUCUUGAGUCCGGGAGAGGUGAGUGGAACUGCGAGUGUAGAGGUGAAAUUCGUAGAUAUUCGCAAGAACACCAGUGGCGAAGGCGGCUCACUGGCCCGGUACUGACGCUGAGGUGCGAAAGCGUGGGGAGCAAACAGG